rnacentral:lncRNA from 1 species
GGAUUACCCGGGAUUGGGGUGAAUUUUUGGGAUUUUUGUCAAACCCCCGUUUCUGUGCCCCCCAGCUCUGACGUACCACUACGAGACGCAGUGCAUCCCCACACCGGGGGCAUGGCUGGCACACCAGCUGCCCGUGUGGUUCCAGAAGCUCAGCGUGGUGGCCACCUACGUCAUCGAGGUGGCCGUGCCCGUGCUCUUCUUCGCGCCCCUGCGCCGCCUGCGCCUCUUUGCCUUCUACUGCCAGGUCCUGCUGCAGCUCCUCAUCAUCCUCACGGGCAACUACAACUUCUUCAACGUGCUGACCAUCGUGCUGGCCUUCUCGCUGCUGGACGAGGAGCACGUGGGGCGCUGGCUGGGCCGGCCCCGCCGGAGGCAGGGCAAUGGUGAGACCCCCAGGCUGGGUGGNAGGGUUUAGUGUUGGUUAAUUACUGGUGUACUCACUUUUUGUUAAUUUGGGAUUUUAUUAAUUUUAAGAUUUUUUGGGUGGUGUGCUAAUCACUGGGGAGGGUUUAGUGUUGGUUAGUUACUGGUGUAUUCACUUUUGUAAAUUCGGGAUUUUAUUAAUUUUAAGAUUUUUUAGGUGAUGUGCUAAUCACUGUGGAGGGUUUAGUGUUGGUUCAUUACUGGUGUACUCAGUUUUUGUUAAUUUGGGAUUUUAUUAAUUUUGGGAUUUUUUGGGUGGUAUACUAGUGAGUGCAGAGGGUUUAAUGUUGGGUAAUUACCGGUGUAUUCAUUUUUCAUGAGUGUGGUGGGUUUAGUGUUGGUCAAUUACUGGUGUGCUCACUUUUUGUUUUAUUAAUUUGGGGAUUUUUCGGGUGUUGUGCUAAUGAGUGUGGUGGGUUUAGUGUUUGUUAAUUAUUAGUGUACUCACUUUUUGUUGAUUUCGGAGUGUAUUAAGAUUUUUUGGGUGGUGUACUAGUGAGUGUGAUGGGUUUAGUGUUCGUUAAUUAAUGGUGUACUCACUUUUUGUUGGUUUGGGAUUUUAUUAAUUUUAAGAUUUUUUGGGUGGUGUGCUAAUCACUGUGGAGGGUUUAGUGUUAGGUAAUUACUGGUGUACUCACUUUUUGCUGAUUUGGGAUUUUAUUAAUUUUGGGAUUUUUUGGGUGGUGUGCUAGUGAGUGUGGUGGGUUUAGUGUUCGUUAAUUACGGGUGUGCUCACUUUUUCGAUUUCAGAUUUUAUUAAGAUUUUUUGGGUAGUUGCUAGUGAGUAUGGUGGGUUUAAUGCUGGGUAGUUACUAGUGUAUUUGCUUGUUGGUUAUUUGUGAUUUUAUUAAUUUUGGGGUUUUUUUGUGUGUUGUGCUAAUCGCUGUGGAGGGUUUAGUGUUGGGUAAUUACUGGUGUACUCACUUUUUGUUGAUUUGGGAUUUUAUUAAUUUUGGGAUGUUUU